rnacentral:lncRNA from 1 species
UGCUGCCCCUGAAUUGGUAAUUUUGAGAAAAUUUUGCUGUUUUUGGUUAUUAUCUUGAAUAUUAUUAUAGAUAGAGAUAAACUGUGAACAGCAAAAAUGUUCAACAAAGUAAGAUCUACAAAUAAGUCAACAUGACCAAAAUGGUCUGUUGACCCCUUUAGAAGUAAUUGCCCUUUAUAGUCAAUUUUUAACCAUUUUUCGUAAAUCUUAAUUAUCUUUUACAAAAAUCUUCUCCUCUGAAACUACUGGACCAAAUUAAACCAAACUUGGCCACAAUCAUCAUUGGGGUAUCUAGUUUAAAAAUUGUGUCCGGUGACCCGCCCGCCCAACCAAGAUGGCCGCCAUGGCUAAAAAUAGAACAUAGGGGUAAAAUGCAGUUUUUGGCUUAUCACUCAACAACCGAAACAUUUAGAGCAAAUCUGACAUGUAGUAAAAUUGUUUAUCAGGUCAAGAUCUAUCUGCCCUGAAAUUUUGAGAUGAAUCGGACAAUUCGUUGAUAGGUUGCUGCCCCUGAAUUGGUAAUUUUAAGGAAAUUUUGCUGUUUUUGGUUAUUAUCUUGAAUAUUAUUAUAGAUAGAGAUAAACUGUAAACAGCAAAAAUGUUCAGCUAAAUAAGAUCUACAAAUAAGUCAACAUGACCAAAAUGGUCUGUUGACCCCUUUAGGAGUUAUUGCCCUUUAUAGUCAAUUUUUAACCAUUUUUCGUAAAUCUUAGUUAUCUUUUACAAAAAUCUUCUCCUCUGAAACUACUGGACCAAAUUAAACCAAACUUGGCCACAAUCAUCAUUGGGUAUCUAGUUUAAAAAUUGUGUCCGGUGACCCGGCCAACCAAUCAAGAUGGCCGCCAUGGCUAAAAAUAGAACAUAGGGGUAAAACGCAGUUUUUGGCUUAUCACUCAAAAACCAAAGCAUUUAGAGCAAAUCUGACAUGUGGUAAAAUUGCUUAUCAGGUCAAGAUCUAUCUGCAACAACAAAAGAAAGAGAGUUUUUAACGACCUCAGCUGGCUAUACAACCCUUGCACAAUCAACUGAAUUUUGCAGAAAUCAUGAAUAGGAUAGAUUGCCCUUAUAUGAUAAUUUUUUAUUACCUUUUUGCUUUUUUUGGCAAAGUGGGGGUGGGGGGGUUGCGCAACAACAAAACUACUUCACAACUUUCUCAUUACUUUGCAUUUCUUGUUAGAUAAAUUUUACAAAAAUUCUCCCCUGAAACAACUGUUGAAUUUAAACAAACUUGGUUUAAAUCACCACUAGGAUAUCCAGGGACCACUGUGUAUGAUGACCCUGCCUGCCCACAUGGCUGAAAUAAAACAUAGGUUUCAAAUGCACUUUUUAGUAUUAUAUCUCUGAAACUAAAUGACAGUACAACAGUUGCAUUUAUCAUGCAACAAUUGUAAAUAAAAAUAUCAGGUGAGCGACACAGGGUCCUUGGACCCUCUAGUUUGUCAUCACAACUCCUUUCAAACCAUGCAUCAGAAUUUCAUGAAACCUUUUCAGAUAAUAAGGACAUACUAUGUAGUUGUGCAUAUUGACGGGAAAUUGCGAUUCAAUUUUUUUUCUAGGAGUUACGCCCCUUUGAACUUAUUUACUUUAAUGUACUACUGCAACAGUUUGUCAUCGCAACUCCUCUCAAACCACACAACAGAAUUUCACGAAACCUUUUCAGAUAAUAAGGACAUACUAUGUAGUUGUGCAUAUCGACGGGAAAUUGCGAUUCAAUUUAUUUUCUAGGAGUUACGCCCCUUUGAACUUAUUUACUUUAAUGUACUACUGCAACAGUUUGUCAUCGCAACUCCUCUCAAACCACACAACAGAAUUUCAUGAAACCUUUUCAGAUAAUAAGGACAUACUAUGUAGUUGUGCAUAUUCGACGGGAAAUUGCGAUUCAAUUUAUUUUCUAGGAGUUACGCCCCUUUGAACUUAUUUACUUUAAUGUACUACUGCAACAGUUUGUCAUCUCAUCUACUCUCAAACCACACAACAAAAUUUCAUGAAACCUUUUCAGAAAUAAGGACAUACUAUGUAGUUGUGCAUAUCAACGGGAAAUUGCGAUUCAAUUUUUUUCCUAGGAGUUACGCCCCUUUGAACUUAUUUACUUCAAUGUUUUACUGCAACAGUUUGUUAUGGCAACUCCUCUCAAACCACACAACAGAAUUUCACGAAACCUUUUCAGAUAUUAAGGACAUACGAUGUAGUUCUGCAUAUCGACGGGAAAUUGUGAUUCAAUUUUUUUUCUAGGAGUUACGCCCCUUUGAACUUAUUUGCUUCAAUGUACUUCUGCAACAGUUUGUCAUCUCAACUCCUCUGAAACCACACAACAGAAUUUCAUGAAAUUUUGUAGAUAAUAAGGACAUACUAUUUAGAUGUGCAUAUUGGCAGGAAAUUAAUUUUUCUUAUACAAUUUUUUUUUCUUACACUAAUUUAAUUUCUCCAAUGACAAUGUGGGGACGUGGGGUAUGUGAGUGUGCUCACUAAGGUUCUUUAAUUGUAUUUAAUGAUAAUACAUAAUAUAUAUAUACAUGUAAAGGUUGAUGAACACAGAUGCGGCCACUUUCAUUUUUUGACAAAAACCAUCAGAAAAGUGACAUUUUUUGGCAAAUUCAAUAGAUUUUUCAUACGAAAGCUUGAAUCUGAGCGUUUUUAAUGACUAAGUCAGUCAAAAUCUUUCACAUUAACUAAUUGAAUCAAUUGAAAUAGACAGUUAAGAGUUUAAAAAGUGUCCAAAAUCUUUCGUUAGAUGAAUUUGAAAUUUGAGGCCAAAAUCGGAACCUUACCUACUUCUUUUAUUUGUUACCUUAAGUAGUUGUUACUUUAGUUUAAACAUAUUUAUUUAUAGUGGAUUGGGAAACAAGUUUUACAACUUAUAUCAAUCCCUUUCCACUUUGCGGGUGCGAGUGCUGCCUUGUAGCGGCAUUAGCCUACUCUUUUUCGAAAUCUACAAGGGUGUCUUUAACGUGCAAGAGUUGUUACUUUAUCAUAUGGUACAAAAAUAAUUUAAAAAAAUCAAUUUUUGAUGGCCUCAGAUGAAUUGUAAAAUGUAGAUAUCAUUAAAAUUGCUCAAAAUUAUCUCCCUUUGGUAUAAAAAUGCCAUUUUUGGAACUCAUCCGUGACCUUUUUUUUUUAUUAUUAUUUUCAAUUAAGCUGUUCUUAAACUAAACUAUUGUAAAAUUUGAGCGAUUUCUGUAAUUAAGUUCUCUUAUUUCGGUAUUACAUGUACCUCUAUUUCUGCUAUUAGUUCAACAGAAAAAAGGUACCUUUACAAAAAUGUAUGCUUCUUUCGAAGGCAGGUUGUGAACGGUGACCCC